rnacentral:snRNA from 13 species
ACUCGCUUCGGCAGAGCAUAUACAAAAAUUGGAACAAAGGAGAUUAGCAUGACCCCUAUGCAAGGAUGACACGCAAAAUCGUGAAGCGUUCCACAUCUUU